rnacentral:rRNA from 1 species
UAACGCGUGGGUAACCUGCCUUAUACAGGGGGAUAACAGUCAGAAAUGGCUGCUAAUACCGCAUAAGCGCACAGAGCUGCAUGGCUCAGUGUGAAAAACUCCGGUGGUAUAAGAUGGACCCGCGUUGGAUUAGCUUGUUGGUGGGGUAACGGCUCACCAAGGCGACGAUCCAUAGCCGGCCUGAGAGGGUGAACGGCCACAUUGGGACUGAGACACGGCCCAG